rnacentral:tRNA from 1 species
UGCGCGCCUCGCGUGCGGCGACGCGAUUGCCACGGACAUUCUCGAACCCUACCGGUUCGAGCCCGAUGCGCGCGC